CGCCACCUGCUGCAGCGACCAGACAAUGGCAGCGGCGUGUCCUGUGUGCUGGUGGUGGCUGGUGGCGCUAUAAAUACGACGUGGGCGCGCGCCGCCCAGGCAGUGGCUGAGGAACGGCUGGACGCUGCAGACUGCACGCCGCAGCCGAACACAGGUGAUCAGUGACACAUACUGAAUGUCCCAGAACAGCCCUUCAUCUGGUACCUCAGAACAUUGACUGUCUUGCAGAGGGCUUGUGACAGAAAGAAGGGACACUGUUCUGUGACUAGAUGGAUAUUUCAAUUGCAAAUACCGAGAACCUUCCAAUUUAACACGAGAGCUCAUCUGUGCAGCAAGUAGACUGUGUACUGGAAAG